rnacentral:rRNA from 1 species
AUGUCAGGCAUGUCGGCGGCUGUCACUGCAACUGUAUCGGCGGUCUGUGCGACCGUGGCAGUGUUCAUAACGAUGGCCGUGAUCAGGCGAUGCCGCCACGUGAGGAAGAAAAUGCACAAGAAGAUCGUGACCAAGAUCAUGGACGAGAUCAGCAGAAGGAACCGGGACCGGAGAGCGGCUCCGGACGACGGCGCCGCCGUGGACGACGUGGUCAUCGAGAUAGGCCCCGUGGAGAAGUUUCUGCACGAGAUACUCAACGAGAAGCCGAUGCGGUUCAGCUCCGAGCAGCUGGCGUCGUGCACCGGGAACUACUCCACCGAGCUCGGCUCCGGCGGCUUCGGGGUGGUCUACAAGGGGGAGCUCCCCAACGGGCUGCCCGUGGCGGUGAAGGUGCUCAAGGUGUCCAUGAACAAGAAGGUUCAGGAAGGGUUCAUGGCGGAGAUCGGCACCAUCGGCCGGACCUACCACGUGCACCUCGUCAGGCUCUACGGCUUCUGCUUCGACCCGGACACCAAGGCGCUUGUCUAUGAGUACCUGGAGAAUGGCUCGCUGGAGAAGUACCUCUACCACCAUGGGGAAGGAGACGGCGACAGCGACGGCGGGGAGGAGAGGAGGGAAAGGCUCGAUUGGCGGACACUGCACAGCAUCGCCGUCGGCACCGCGAAGGGGAUCCGGUACCUGCAUGAGGAGUGCCAGCACAGGAUCGUCCACUACGAUAUCAAGCCGCCCAACAUCCUCCUCACCGCCGACUUCACGCCCAAGGUGGCCGACUUCGGGCUGGCCCGGCUGGGCGAGCGCGAGAACACCCACAUGUCGUCGCUGACGGGCGGUGGGCGCGGGACGCCGGGCUAUGCGGCGCCGGAGCUCUGGAUGGCACUGCCGACGACGGAGAGGUGCGACGUGUACAGCUUCGGCAUGGUGCUGUUCGAGAUCCUGGGGCGGCGCCGGAACUACGACGCCCAGCUGGAGGACGAGAGCCGGGAGUGGUUCCCCAAGUGGGUGUGGGACAAGUACGAGCAGGGGGACAUGGAGUGCAUUGUCUCCGCGGCCGCCGGCAUCGGGGAGGCGGACCGGGAGAAGGCGGAGACCAUGUGCAAGGUGGCGCUGUGGUGCGUGCAGUUCCAGCCUUCGGCGCGGCCGACGAUGAGCAGCGUGGUGCGGAUGCUGGAGGGGGAGAUGGCCAUCGUGCCGCCGGUGAACCCGUUCCACUAUGUGUCGGGCGGUGGCAGCUCCAGCGGCUGGGCGUUGUCGAGUGGCACCGGCACCGGCGCCGGCACGUAUACGAGCAGCAGCCGGGACACGGGGAGGGACAGCGAGGUCUCGGCAGCAAGUGCUCCUGCUCCUAAGCCGAGUGAUGCAAUGGUGACGGAUGCCAAGUCCAUUGAUCCAGUGACGGCAUAG